rnacentral:rRNA from 1 species
GACGAACGCUGGCGGCGUGCUUAACACAUGCAAGUCGAGCGAAUGGAUUAAGAGCUUGCUCUUAUGAAGUUAGCGGCGGACGGGUGAGUAACACGUGGGUAACCUGCCCAUAAGACUGGGAUAACUCCGGGAAACCGGGGCUAAUACCGGAUAACAUUUUGAACCGCAUGGUUCGAAAUUGAAAGGCGGCUUCGGCUGUCACUUAUGGAUGGACCCGCGUCGCAUUAGCUAGUUGGUGAGGUAACGGCUUACCAAGGCAACGAUGCGUAGCCGACCUGAGAGGGUGAUCGGCCACACUGGGACGGAGACACGGCCCAGACUCCUACGGGAGGCAGCAGUAGGGAAUCUUCCGCAAUGGACGAAAGUCUGACGGAGCAACGCCGCGUGAGUGAUGAAGGCUUUCGGGUCGUAAAACUCUGUUGUUAGGGAAGAACAAGUGCUAGUUGAAUAAGCUGGCACCUUGACGGUACCUAACCAGAAAGCCACGGCUAACUACGUGCCAGCCGCCGCGGUAA